rnacentral:rRNA from 1 species
UACGUAGGGUGCAAGCGUUGUCCGGAAUUAUUGGGCGUAAAGAGCGUGUAGGCGGCCCGAUUAGUCCGCUGUGAAAGUCCAGGGCUCAACCCUGGAAUGCCGGUGGAUACUGUCGGGCUAGAGUCCGGAAGGGGCGAGUGGAAUUCCUGGUGUAGCGGUGAAAUGCGCAGAUAUCAGGAGGAACACCAAUGGCGAAGGCAGCUCGCUGGGACGUGACUGACGCUGAGACGCGAAAGCGUGGGUAGCAAACAGG